rnacentral:tRNA from 1 species
GGGGCUUUAGCUCAGCGGCAUAAGCACCUGCCUUGCAAGCAGGUGGUCGUGAGUUCGAUCCCCAGUACCA